rnacentral:rRNA from 1 species
UACGGAGGGUGCAAGCGUUAAUCGGAAUUACUGGGCGUAAAGCGUGCGCAGGCGGUUUGUUAAGUCUGUUGUGAAAUCCCCGGGCUCAACCUGGGAACUGCAUUUGUGACUGCAUAGCUAGAGUACGGUAGAGGGGGAUGGAAUUCCGCGUGUAGCAGUGAAAUGCGUAGAUAUGCGGAGGAACACCGAUGGCGAAGGCAAUCCCCUGGACCUGUACUGACGCUCAUGCACGAAAGCGUGGGGAGCAAACAGG